UACAGAGGUCUCAACCGUUGUUCGGAUUCAUUGGGCGUAAAGGGUGCGUAGGCGGUCGCGCAAGUCGGAUGUGAAAUCUCAGGGCUCAACCCUGAAACUGCAUUCGAGACUGCGUGGCUAGAGUGCUGGAGAGGAGACUGGAAUUUACGGUGUAGCAGUGAAAUGCGUAGAUAUCGUAAGGAAGACCAGUGGCGAAGGCGAGUCUCUGGACAGCAACUGACGCUGAGGCACGAAGGCCAGGGGAGCAAACGGG
rnacentral:rRNA from 1 species